rnacentral:tRNA from 2 species
GGCCAGAUAGCUCAGUCGGUAGAGCAGCGGAUUGAAAAUCCGCGUGUCGGUGGUUCGAUUCCACCUCUGGCCACCA